GACGAACGCUGGCGGCGUGCUUAACACAUGCAAGUCGAACGGAAAGGCCCUGCUUUUGUGGGGUGCUCGAGUGGCGAACGGGUGAGUAACACGUGAGUAACCUGCCCUUGACUUUGGGAUAACUUCAGGAAACUGGGGCUAAUACCGGAUAGGAGCUCCUGCUGCAUGGUGGGGGUUGGAAAGUUUCGGCGGUUGGGGAUGGUCUAGCGGCUUAUCAGCUUGAUGGUGGGGUAGUGGCUUACCAAGGCUUUGACGGGUAGCCGGCCUGGGAGGGUGGACGGCGUCAUUGGGCCUGCGAUACGGCGCAGUCUCGUACGGGCGGCAGUAGUGGGGAGUAUUGCACAGUGGGGGGACGCGUGUUGCAGCAAUGCUGCGUGCGUGAUGCCGGCCUACUGGUUGUAAACCGCUUUCGCCUUUGCCGAAGCGUGAGUGACGGUACUGGGUAAAGAAGCACCGGCUAACUACGUG
rnacentral:rRNA from 1 species